UGGGGAAUAUUGCACAAUGGGCGCAAGCCUGAUGCAGCCAUGCCGCGUGUGUGAAGAAGGCCUUCGGGUUGUAAAGCACUUUCAGCGAGGAGGAAGGUGGUGAACUUAAUACGUUCAUCAAUUGACGUUACUCGCAGAAGAAGCACCGGCUAACUCCGUGCCAGCAGCCGCGGUAAUACGGAGGGUGCAAGCGUUAAUCGGAAUUACUGGGCGUAAAGCGCACGCAGGCGGUUUGUUAAGUCAGAUGUGAAAUCCCCGGGCUCAACCUGGGAACUGCAUUUGAAACUGGCAAGCUAGAGUCUCGUAGAGGGGGGUAGAAUUCCAGGUGUAGCGGUGAAAUGCGUAGAGAUCUGGAGGAAUACCGGUGGCGAAGGCGGCCCCCCUGGACGAAGACUGACGCUCAGGUGCGAAAGCGUGGGGCAGCAAACAGGAUUAGAUACCCUGGUAGUCCAGCGCUGUAAACGAUGUCGAUUUGGAGGUUGUGCCCUUGAGGCGUGGCUUCCGGAGCUAACGCGUUAAAUCGACCGCCUGGGGAGUACGGCCGCAAGGUUAAAACUUAAAUGAAUUGACGGGGUC
rnacentral:rRNA from 1 species